rnacentral:rRNA from 1 species
CGUAACAGCUCACCAGUCAAGCGAGUCUGCGCCGAAAAUGAUCGGGGCUAAAGCACAGUACCGCAAUCACGGCUAUGCAGGUUCUAAGGAAUCUGUAUGGGGUAGGGGAGCGUUCUGGACGGGACGAAGGUAUACCGUAAGGAGUACUGGACUGUCCAGAAGUGAGAAUGUCGGAAUAAGUAGCGAUAUGAGGGGUGAGAAUCCUCUCCGCCGUAAGAGUAAGGUUUCCUUGAGCAACGUUCGUCGACUCAGGGUUAGUCGGACCUAAGCAGAGGCCGAAAGGCGUAUGUGAAGGACAUCAGGUUAAUAUUCCUGAACUAUGUUUGAAGCGUUAUCACCUAAGGAGGGACGCAGAAGAGUAAGCCAUCCUACGACUGGAAGUGUAGGUUUAAAGGCGUAGGCCUUUCCCGGCAAGCAAAUCUACUGGGAUAGCCGAGACCUGAAUACGAGGCUGGGGUAACCCGGUCGAAGUGGCCUAAUCCCGCUGCCAAGAAAAUCUUCGUAGGGAGUUUCAAGCAUACCCGUACCGCAAACCGACACAGGUACUCGAGUAGAAUAUACUAAGGCGCGCGAGCGAACUCUGGUUAAGGAACUAGGCAAACUGGUCCCGUAACUUCGGAAGAAGGGAUGCCUGCCGAUUUAACUCCGUACAGGGGAAGGAUUGGCGGGCCGCAGUGAAAUGGCUCUCGUGACUGUUUAACAAAAACACAGGACUCUGCUGAAAUCACAAGAUGAUGUAUAGGGUCUGAUGCCUGCCCGGUGCUGGAAGGUCACGGGGAGAUGUUAGUGCUCGCAAGAGUGCAAAGCAUUGAACCUAAGCCCCAGUAAACGGCGGCCGUAACUAUAACGGUCCUAAGGUAGCGAAAUUCCUUGUCGGGUAAGUUCCGACCUGCACGAAUGGCAUAACAAAGAGAGCGCUGUCUCAACCAGAGGCUCGGUGAAAUUGGGGUGCAAGUGAAGACGCUUGCUGCCCGCGGCUAGACGAAAAGACCCCGUGAAGCUUUACUGUAUCUUGAUAAUGAACUACGGGAGUGGAUGCGUAGAAUAGGUGGGAGCCUUUGAAGGUUGCCUUUUGGGGUGACUGGAGGCACCAGUGAAAUACCACUCUUCCGGUCUUGUGGUUCUAACUACGUCCCUUAUAUCAGGGCGUAGGACAUUGUCAGGUGGGCAGUUUAACUGGGGCGGUUGCCUCCUAAAGAGUAACGGAGGCGUACAAAGGUUCCCUCAGCGCGUAUAGAAAUCGCGCCUCGAAUGCAAGGGUAGAAGGGAGCUUGACUGCGAGACGGACAUGUCGAGCAGGUGCGAAAGCAGGUCCUAGUGAUCCGGUGGUUGAAUGUGGAAUUGCCAUCGCUCAACGAAUAAAAGCUACUCCGGGGAUAACAGGCUUAUCGGAUCCAAGAGUCCAUAUCGACGAUCCGGUUUGGCACCUCGAUGUCGGCUCAUCGCAUCCUCCCGCUGAAGUAGGUGGGAAGGGUUUGGCUGUUCGCCAAUUAAAGCGGUACGUGAGCUGGGUUCAGUACGUCGUGAGACAGUACGGUCUCUAUCUACCGUGGGCGUAGGAAUCUUGAAGGGAUCUGUUCCUAGUACGAGAGGACCGGAAUGGACGAACCUCUGGUGUACCGGUUGUUCCGCCAGGAGCAUGGCCGGAUAGCUAUGUUCGGAUUGGAUAAACGCUGAAAGCAUCUAAGUGUGAAACCAGCCCUGAGAUAAGGAUUCCCAUGCCGUAAGGCAUCUUAAGACCCGCAGAAGACUACUGCGUUGAUAGGUGAGACGUGGAAGCACCGUUAAGGUGUGGAGCGCACUCAUACUAAUUGGUCGUGCGGCUUAGCCGU